rnacentral:rRNA from 1 species
UACGUAGGGGGCAAGCGUUGUCCGGAUUUAUUGGGCGUAAAGCGCUCGCAGGUGGUUCGUUGCGUCGUGCGUGAAAGACCCCGGCUCAACUGGGGAGUGUCGUGCGAUACGGGCGGACUGGAGGCCAGUAGGGGGAUGCGGAAUUCCGGGUGUAGUGGUGGAAUGCGUAGAGAUCCGGAGGAACACCAGCAGCGAAGGCGGCAUCCUGGACUGGUCCUGACACUCAUGAGCGAAAGCGUGGGGAGCGAGUCCGG